rfam:Halorientalis sp. IM1011, complete genome.
GGCGGGAUUCCCCUAGCUUGGCCAAGGGACCGUGCUGGAACCACGGUGCCCCACGCGGGCACGAGUGUUCAAAUCACUCUCCCGCCG